rnacentral:rRNA from 1 species
AAUAGACUACCCCGGUAGUCCACGCCGUAAACGAUGGAUACUAGCUGUUUGAGCGCAAGUUUGAGUGGCUAAGCGAAAGUGAUAAGUAUCCCACCUGGGGAGUACGGGCGCAAGCCUGAAACUCAAAGGAAUUGACGGGGGCCCGCACAAGCGGUGGAGCAUGUGGUUUAAUUCGAUGAUACGCGAGGAACCUUACCAGGGCUUAAAUGUAGAUUGACGUAUUUGGAAACAGAUAUUUCUUCGGACAAUUUACAAGGUGCUGCAUGGUUGUCGUCAGCUCGUGCCGUGAGGUGUCAGGUUAAGUCCUAUAACGAGCGCAACCCCUGUUGUUAGUUGCCAGCGAGUAAUGUCGGGAACUCUAGCAAGACUGCCAGUGUAAACUGUGAGGAAGGUGGGGAUGACGUCAAAUCAUCACGGCCCUUACGUCCUGGGCCACACACGUGCUACAAUGGCCGGUACAGAGAGCAGCCACUUAGCGAUAAGGAGCGAAUCUAUAAAGCCGGUCACAGUUCGGAUCGGAGUCUGCAACG